AGUGAACGCUGGCGGUAGGCCUAACACAUGCAAGUCGAACGGCAGCACAGUAAGAGCUUGCUCUUACGGGUGGCGAGUGGCGGACGGGUGAGGAAUACAUCGGAAUCUACUUUUUCGUGGGGGAUAACGUAGGGAAACUUACGCUAAUACCGCAUACGACCUACGGGUGAAAGCAGGGGAUCUUCGGACCUUGCGCGAUUGAAUGAGCCGAUGUCGGAUUAGCUAGUUGGCGGGGUAAAGGCCCACCAAGGCGACGAUCCGUAGCUGGUCUGAGAGGAUGAUCAGCCACACUGGAACUGAGACACGGUCCAGACUCCGACGGGAGGCAGCAGUGGGGAAUAUUGGACAAUGGGCGCAAGCCUGAUCCAGCCAUACCGCGUGGGUGAAGAAGGCCUUCGGGUUGUAAAGCCCUUUUGUUGGGAAGAAAAGCAGCAGGUUAAUACCCCGCUGUUCUGACGGUACCCAAAGAAUAAGCACCGGCUAACUUCGUG
rnacentral:rRNA from 1 species